AGUAAUGUCUGGGAAACUGCCUGAUGGAGGGGGAUAACUACUGGAGACGGUAGCUAAUACCGCAUAACGUCGCAAGACCAAAGAGGGGGACCUUCGGGCCUCUUGCCAUCAGAUGUGCCCAGAUGGGAUUAGCUAGUAGGUGGGGUAACGGCUCACCUAGGCGACGAUCCCUAGCUGGUCUGAGAGGAUGACCAGCCACACUGGAACUGAGACACGGUCCAG
rnacentral:rRNA from 1 species